AGGAACAGAAGAGGAGCGUUAACUAGGUAGUGAGUCAGAGGAAACCAAUUUCCUAUGACGGCUCAUGAGGGAGAUUAACGCCGAGGUCGGGAUGCGUAUUGGUAACGCUCUCCGGUCGGUUGGUCAGGCUGAAUCCUGGCGGCUGUCACCUGGUUUUUGGUGGAGAGCUUCUGGUGAC
rnacentral:ncRNA from 1 species